CACACUGUAAACGAUGAAUGCUAGGUGUAGGAGGUAUCGACCCCUUCUGUGCCGCAGUAAACACAGUAAGCAUUCCGCCUGGGGAGUACGGUCGCAAGAUUAAAACUCAAAGGAAUUGACGGGGGCCCGCACAAGCAGCGGAGCAUGUGGUUUAAUUCGAAGCAACGCGAAGAACCUUACCAGGUCUUGACAUCCAGUAAAGGCUGUAGAGAUACGGAAUCCCUUCGGGGGUACUGAGACAGGUGG
rnacentral:rRNA from 1 species